GACCCUGCCAGUCCCUUGUUUCAGGACCUCCCCAGGCUCCAGGUGGCCCUCACGGAGGAAUCCACUUUUCCUAACAGGCAGAGCCGGUACACCAGAAGUUAGAUCCCACUUCUCGGCCCUUCAGCCUGCUCUCUCUGCUCUGGUUCAGUUGGGCCUCACUGUUCCCACACCUCCUGCUCUCUCCCACCUUCUAGCUGGUACUAGCAUCCCUCUGCCAGGGUGAUAGGGGACCAAUCUCAUGGCUUCAUGUGUCUCCAAAUUGGUCCUGAGGGUCGCUCUACUGUUCUGGGGCGAAAACUAUCCUCCUUUGUAACAUUGAGGGGGGCCCAAGGUAGUCCUGGGGCCAAUUUCCAGCUCUGCCAAUUGCUUGUCUCUAGCUGUGACUUGUGUCAUAUUCUGAACCUUGAUGUGUGGAUCUAUAAAAUGGGGAAAGUAACACCUGCCCCAGAGAAUAGUUGUGAGGCUUGGAGAUAAGGUUUAGAAAGCACACAGCCCAGUUCAUGCAUGGGACUGGACUCUGGUCAGGCUAGUUGCAUUGUUAAUCUGCCAUCUGGGGACAGCACACAGCAGGGUUUCUCUCAGGGAGGGAGAAAAACAGGCUACCUGUUCUGUGGACAGGAACCAAGGAAAUAGCAGAGGGCCAGUGGUCCUGAGAGCUCUCUGAGGGGUCUCAUGGUAGGUAGUAUAUCUGGGAGACCUCAGGGAAAGUGAAGGAAAGAGGAGAAUCCAAGAUAAAGGGCACUACGGCAGGGAAAUGGGGCUGGGCCUCACCGAGACCAUCCGGGGAGACCAUAAGAUGUGUCUCACAGCUGUCCACCCGACCGUGUGCGUUUAUCCACUGGCUCUUCUGUCCCAUUGGUUGAGUGUUGCCUCUAAGGGCAUUGGUUUCCUGAGCCUAUGGACUCCACAGGCAUGUGUGCUGAACAAGGUCCCACUGGUGUCCACAAUGGCAUGGAAACCCCGGGGCAGAGAGGGGAAGACUUAUGGAGAGUACUGGAGGUGCUACAAAGCAACCAGAUCCAUCUAAACAAUCAGUUCCUCUUCUGCUUCUACCAUGGGCUUGGAGGUAACUUGGAGCCCAAUCAGCACCUGAGGCAGAUCUGACAGGUCUGGAGCUGAGACCUUCUGUCCUGUGAGGGACCUGUGCUUGAGAUCACCCUGCGGAGUGCAAAGGAGCUGAGGCUGGGAGGAGGACUGACUGUGUGCCAGGCCAAAGGUCUUGGGUGCCCUUAAAAGCUGAUUCUUACCACAUAGAAAAGGUAUAGACUUGUCAUGCUUUUAAAAUGCACUUCCCUUUUGUUGAACGUUUGGGCUAUUUUCCAUUUUAAGAUAUUAUGAUAUACCUAUUAACCUAGUAGGAAAUAAUCAUUUUAGAACUUGAGAAGCAGUUUCAUGUAUAUUGCUGACCACUCCUUAAGUUGGUCCAGUUUUUCAAAAGAAGAAUCUAGUAAUAUUUAAGAAUUAUAAAAUUCUU